rnacentral:rRNA from 1 species
GACGAACGCUGGCGGCGUGCUUAACACAUGCAAGUCGAACGGAAAGGCCCUGCUUUUGUGGGGUGCUCGAGUGGCGAACGGGUGAGUAACACGUGAGUAACCUGCCCUUGACUUUGGGAUAACGUCAGGAAACUGGGGCUAAUAACGGAUAGGAGCGCCUGCUGCAUGGUGGGGGUUGGUAAGUUUCGGCGGUUGGGGAUGGAUUCGCGGCUUAUCAGCUUUUUGGUGGGGUAGUGGCUUACCAAGGCUUUGGCGGGUAGCCGGCCUGAGAGGGUGACCGGCCACAUUGGGACUGAGGUACGGCCCAGACGCCUACGGGGGGCAGCAGUGGGGAAUAUUGCACAAUGGGCGGAAGCCGGAUGCAGCAACGCCGCGUGCUGGAUGACGGCCUUCGGGUUGUAACCCGCUUUCGCCUGUGACGAAGAGUCAGUGACGGUAAUGGGUAAAGAAGCACCGGCUAACUACGUG